UGGGGAAUUUUGGACAAUGGGCGAAAGCCUGAUCCAGCAAUGCCGCGUGUGUGAAGAAGGCCUUCGGGUUGUAAAGCACUUUUGUCCGGAAAGAAAUCCUUGGCUCUAAUACAGUCGGGGGAUGACGGUACCGGAAGAAUAAGCACCGGCUAACUACGUGCCAGCAGCCGCGGUAAUACGUAGGGUGCAAGCGUUAAUCGGAAUUACUGGGCGUAAAGCGUGCGCAGGCGGUUUGCUAAGACCGAUGUGAAAUCCCCGGGCUCAACCUGGGAACUGCAUUGGUGACUGGCAGGCUAGAGUAUGGCAGAGGGGGGUAGAAUUCCACGUGUAGCAGUGAAAUGCGUAGAGAUGUGGAGGAAUACCGAUGGCGAAGGCAGCCCCCUGGCAAGUACUGACGCUCAUGCACGAAAGCGUGGGGAGCAAACAGGAUUAGAUACCCUGGUAGUCCACGCCCUAAAACGAUGUCAACUAGUUGUUGGGGAUUCAUUUUCCUUAGUAACGUAGCUAACGCGUGAAGUUGACCGCCUGGGGAGUACGGUCGCAAGAUUAAAACUUAAAU
rnacentral:rRNA from 1 species